rnacentral:rRNA from 1 species
UACGUAGGGCGCAAGCGUUGUCCGGAAUUAUUGGGCGUAAAGAGCUCGUAGGUGGCUUGUCGCGUCUGCCGUGAAAGCCCAUGGCUUAACCCUGGACCUGCAGUGGGUACGGGCAGACUAGAGUGCGGGUAGGGGAGAUCGGAAUUCCUGGUGUAGCGGUGAAAUGCGCAGAUAUCAGGAAGAACACCGGUGGCGAAGGCGGCUCUCGUGGGCCUUACCUGACGCUGAGGAGCGAAAGCAUGGGGAGCGAACAGG